UUGCACGCUGGCGGCAGGCCUCACACCCGCAAGUCGAGCGGAUGAAGGGAGCUUGCUCCUGGAUUCAGCGGCGGACGGGUGCGUAAUGCCUAGGAAUCUGCCUGGUAGUGGGGGAUAACGUCCGGAAACGAGCGCUAAUACCGCAUACGUCCUGAGGGAGAAAGUGGGGGAUCUUCGGACCUCACGCUAUCAGAUGAGCCUAGGUCGGAUUAGCUAGUUGGUGGGGUAAAGGCCUACCAAGGCGACGAUCCGUAACUGGUCUGAGAGGAUGAUCAGUCACACUGGAACUGAGACACGGUCCAGACUCCUACGGGAGGCAGCAGUGGGGAAUAUUGGACAAUGGGCGAAAGCCUGAUCCAGCCAUGCCGCGUGUGUGAAGAAGGUCUUCGGAUUGUAAAGCACUUUAAGUUGGGAGGAAGGGCAGUAAGUUAAUACCUUGCUGUUUUGACGUUACCAACAGAAUAAGCACCGGCUAACUUCGUG
rnacentral:rRNA from 1 species